rnacentral:rRNA from 1 species
UAGGGGAUAUUGCACAAUGGGCGGAAGCCUGAUGCAGCAACGCCGCGUGAGUGAUGAAGGCCCUCGGGUCGUAAAACUCUUUUCAAGAGGAAGAGGAAGGACGGUACUCUUGGAAUAAGCCUCGGCUAACUACGUGCCAGCAACCGCGGUAACACGUAGGAGGCGAGCGUUAUUCGGAUUUACUGGGCGUAAAGCGCGUGUAGGCGGCUGAUCAAGUUGGAUGUGAAAGCUCCCGGCUUAACUGGGAGAGGACGUUCAAAACUGAACAGCUUGAGUAUGAGAGAGGGAAAUGGAAUUCCGGGUGUAGUGGUGAAAUGCGUAGAUAUCCGGAGGAACACCAGUGGCGAAGGCGAUUUUCUGGACCAUCACUGACGCUCAGACGCGAAAGCUAG